GAUGAACGCUGGCGGCGUGCCUAAUACAUGCAAGUCGAGCGAACAGACGAGGAGCUUGCUCCUCUGACGUUAGCGGCGGACGGGUGAGUAACACGUGGAUAACCUACCUAUAAGACUGGGAUAACUUCGGGAAACCGGAGCUAAUACCGGAUAACAUGUUGAACCGCAUGGUUCAACAGUGAAAGACGGUCUUGCUGUCACUUAUAGAUGGAUCCGCGCCGCAUUAGCUAGUUGGUAAGGUAACGGCUUACCAAGGCAACGAUGCGUAGCCGACCUGAGAGGGUGAUCGGCCACACUGGAACUGUGACACGGUCCAGACUCCUACGGGAGGCAGCAGUAGGGAAUCUUCCGCAAUGGGCGAAAGCCUGACGGAGCAACGCCGCGUGAGUGAAGAAGGUCUUCGGAUCGUAAAACUCUGUUAUUAGGGAAGAACAAAUGUGUAAGUAACUAUGCACGUCUUGACGGUACCUAAUCAGAAAGCCACGGCUAACUACGUG
rnacentral:rRNA from 1 species